rnacentral:misc_RNA from 1 species
AACGCACGAGACCUGCGGACCUGCGGAGGGAUCAUUAAUGAGAAGCUGCCCCUCGUGGGUAGACCUCCCACCCUCUGUGAACUUACUUUUGUUGCUUUGGCAGGCCCGUCCUCUGGACCGCCGGCUUCGGCUGGCCCGUGCCUGCCAGAGGAUUCCAAACCCUGUCUGUCAGUGUUGUCUGAGUCUAUAUGAAAUCGUUAAAACUUUCAACAAUGGAUCUCUAGAUCGGAAGAGCACACG